UACGAACUGUGCAAACGUUAUUCGGAAUCACUGGGCUUAAAGGGUGCGUAGGCGGCGCAGAAAGUAGGGUGUGAAAGCCCUCGGCUCAACCGAGGAAUUGCGCUCUAAACUACUGUGCUUGAGGAACCUAGAGGUGAGCAGAACAGAUGGUGGAGCGGUGAAAUGCGUUGAUAUCAUCUGGAAUACCGGAGGCGAAGGCGGCUCACUGGGGGGUUUUCUGACGCUGAGGAACGAAAGCCAGGGUAGCGAACGGG
rnacentral:rRNA from 1 species